rnacentral:lncRNA from 1 species
AGGGCUGUGCAGAAUGUGCUUUGUUAAACAAGUGCUUGAAGGCAGUAUGCUUGGUAAAAGUCAUCGCCAUUCUCUAAUCUUGAGUACCCAGGGACACGAUACACUGCGGAAGGCUGCAGGGACCUCUGCCCAGGAAAGCCAGGAGCCAGAAAAACUUCAUCUCUUUUACAAGAAACAUUGAGAUUCCUGUAAAAUUAAGAAAUCACACAAUUUGAUGGUCUACAUUAUCUAAAGCAAAUGAGACUUCUAUUUGGAACAAAGACUACCUUGUUGGGAAAUGAGUCUGCAAGUUAAAGUGUUUUCUGAUGAUGCAUAUCAUAAAUUAUUACUCACCCCAUGUUCCCACCCUCGAGAGACCUCCAAACAAUCACCAUGCCACAGUGAACAUUCAGUAACAAAAAUUCAGCCAGGGUUUUCACCAGCAUGAAUGGCAGUGAUUCCAAUCAGGAAAACAGAAAGAGGAGAGUUCAGAGCCACCUAGAAUGGCUCUUGCAAGAUACGAAAUCAAGGCAGCAGCAACAGGGCUGAACAUUCCUCAUCCCUAACUCUCCCUUCACCAGUAGGAAACCCAGGAUAACUGCAAUCACCGCAGGCCCAUCUGGCCUGAAGUUCUACUACUAGUAGCCCUCCAUGGGACCUUCUUAAGGAAGCAUGUCAACUCAGGUAAGGGAUGUAAGGGGAUGGAUGACCCUUUGAGGCCAAAGUUGGAGCAAAAAACACCAGAUGUUCCUGUGCACUGCUCCUAAGAGAUGGUUCUGAAGACCAGUUCGGGGAGAGGUCAAAAUACUGGACAGAAUCUCAGCAACAUGGAACCUCAAACUAAGUGACAGUCACAGACAACUCUUCCCCAAAGAAAAUAAGCACAGACAUGGUUUGUGGUAAGCAGAAUUAUAAAGAUGAAUUCCCAUCUCCCUGUCAGAUUACCAGUAUGGUAAAUUACCAGAUUACCUGGUUAUUUAUUCAAACACUAAUACAGUUAUUGCCUUGAUGGAAACAUACAGAUACAAUUAAAAUCCCAAGUACCAAAUAAAUUGACCUUAAGACAAAGACUAAGUAAAUCACAUGAGCCCUCUACAAGCAGAGAGUUUUUCUCCAGCUGGUAGCAGAAGCCAGAGAUUUGAAGCAUAGGAAGUAUUCAACACAUUAUUGCUGGCCUGAAAAUGGAAGGGGCCACAUAACGAGGGAAACCGGUGGCCUCUAGAAGCAGGGAGCAGUCCCCUGCUGACAGACAGCAAGCCAAGACCUCAGUUCUACAAUUGCAAGACACUCAAUUCUGCUAAGGACAAAAAUGAGCUUGGAAGUGAACUCUGAGCUUCAGGUGAGAACACGGCCAAACAACACCUUGAUUUCAGCUUAAACAAAGAAUGCAGCCACUCCAUGCCAGAAUUCUGACCUGUAGAAAUUUGAGCUAAUAAAUAGAUGUUUUAAUAGCUUCAU